UACGUAGGGUCCGAGCGUUGUCCGGAAUUACUGGGCGUAAAGAGCUCGUAGGUGGUUUGUCGCGUUGUUCGUGAAAACUCACAGCUCAACUGUGGGCGUGCGGGCGAUACGGGCAGACUUGAGUACGGUAGGGGAGCGGGGAAUUCCUAGUGUAGCGGUGAAAUGCGCAGAUAUUAGGAGGAACACCGGUGGCGAAGGCGCCGCUCUGGGCCGAAACUGACGCUGAGGAGCGAAAGCAUGGGUAGCAAACAGG
rnacentral:rRNA from 1 species